GUAGCAACAAGAACCUCGCCCCGUCUUCCCAGAUUUCCUUGUGGAUGUGUGGUGCAUGUUGAAGGAGCUAACGUGUUGCCAUCUCAUCAGGAACAGAGUAGCCUCACCCCCACCUCUGGCCCUCCCCACCCUGGCCCGAUACAGCAAGCUACAGAAAAGCUAAAUUUUCUGAAGUUCCUUAAGAAAGUGGGAGGAGAUAGGACUUAAACACAACCGGAUGGGUUGGACUGCGCUGUGGCAGGACCCCUUUUCCCACUGAACCAGAGGGAAAGCAGAAGUGUCAGUAGGCAGCUUAGUAGGUGGGAAUAUGAGGGCGUCUGAGACCGGAGCCUGACGGCUCAGCUCGAUCACAGCACCGGCUUCAUUUUCUCCCUACUGUCUCCCUGGACAGUUUCCUCCACUAUUUAACCCGUUAGUCAUGACACAGAUAGAUAGUCAUGAAAAUCAUAUUGUGUAUUUUUUUGAGCCAGUGUAAAGGAGAAGCGUCAUCCUUUCCCCCUCCCCCACCGAGGCUAGCAGAGUAGUGGUGAAAGAAAAAUAAAUUUCUGGGGAACGGAGCUGAGCUGCGUGGUCUGUCCGUCCCUUCCUGUCUGAGCAAUCUUUCUGGACUCCUAGACUAAUUUUAAAAAUUGCCUGCAGAUUCUUCUGGGCUUUUGCACAAACACAUUGUAUUUGGUGAAUAUGAAUGCCAUCAAGCCUCAUGCAGAUGCGUGCUUGGAAAAAGUUGGACAGUGCAGACGCCCUGAAAUGAUCCCAGGGACCCUCACAAGUCCUCAGACCACAUCUUGAGAGGCACAUACGAUAGUGUUACUUAUACAUUUUUAGGAUACACACAAAAAAUGUAUUUCUCCUCUAAGGUUAAAGUCUACCAGAAGUCCUUUCAAACAAAAACUUAACAUUAGCAACCUCUUCUUUUCCUUCAUCCUGUCAUUUCUACAUUGGAAUUGUCUAAAUUUCUUCAUAUGUUUUCAUAGGAUAUGUUUGCAUUUAGAAAUAAUCAGCAAUUUUGCUCAUUGCUGCUUCUGAGUUCGUUUUUGAAUGCCGAAGACUAUCUGCAAGUAGUUUCUUCUGACAAGCUGCCAAGUGGCAAAGCUAUUGAGUGCAUAAUUAUGUCUGAAAAUAUUUUUGUGUUCUGUUGUCUUCUAAAUUUCUUUCUUUUUCGCUUAUAAAACUAGGUAUAGUUACUAUUUCAUCUGAAUGUAAAGCGAACCCAUGACAAUUUUUAAGAUUUCAGACAAUGCCAGAAAGAGACAAAAUGAAAAAUAAAAACUGCCUCCUUGUCCCCUCUGA